GGCGGCAUGCAGCGCACCGAACGCGCGGUAGCACUUCCAAUGCUGCGUGUUGCCGGUUGCGGCCCAACAGGCCUCGAAGUCGGGAAUGCGGGUGUACGAUUCCGGCUGCGCCGCCGCCA
rnacentral:tRNA from 1 species